GACUGUAGCUCAGUGGUAGAGCAUCUGCCUUGCAUACAGAAAGCCCCCGGUUCAAUCUCCAGCGUUCCCAGGUAGGGUUA